rnacentral:pre_miRNA from 1 species
UUAAGUAGUGGUGCCGCUCUUAUUAAAAUUAAAGGAGUAAUAAGAGUUGUUCACUACUUAUCA